GACUACCGGGGUAUCUAAGCCUGUUUGCUCCCCACGCUUUCGCGCCUGAGCGUCAGUAUCGGGCCAGAAAGUCGCCUUCGCCACCGGUGUUCCUCCUGAUAUCUACGAAUUUCACCUCUACACCAGGAAUUCCACUUUCCUCUCCCGUACUCUAGCGAGGCAGUAUCAAAUGCACUUCCUGGGUUAAGCCCAGGGAUUUCACAUCUGACUUACCAAGCCGCCUGCGCGCGCUUUACGCCCAAUGAUUCCGAACAACGCUUGCACCCCCCGUAUUACCGCGGCUGCUGGCACGGAGUUAGCCGGUGCUUCCUCUGAUGGUACCGUCAAGGAUGGACGAUAUUAGCCCCCAUCCAUUUCUUCCCAUCUGACAGAGCUUUACGACCCGAAGGCCUUCCUCACUCACGCGGCGUUGCUGCGUCAGGGUUUCCCCCAUUGCGCAAGAUUCCUCACUGCAGCCGCCCGUAGG
rnacentral:rRNA from 1 species